rnacentral:misc_RNA from 1 species
GAUGAAGAACGUAGCGAAAUGCGAUAAGUAAUGUGAAUUGCAGAAUUCAGUGAAUCAUCGAAUCUUUGAACGCACAUUGCGCCCGCCAGUAUUCUGGCGGGCAUGCCUGUUCGAGCGUCAUUUCAACCAUCAAGCCCCAGGCUUGUGUUGGGGACCUGCGGCUGCCGCAGGCCCUGAAAACCAGUGGCGGGCUCGCUGUCACACCGGGCGUAGUAGAUUUUAUCUCGCUCAGGGCGUGCUGCGGGUUCCGGCCGUUAAAAAGCCUUUUUUACCCAAGGUUGACCUCGGAUCAGGUAGGAAGACCCGCUGAACUUAAGCAUACCAAUAAGCGGAGGA